CCUACGGGAGACAGCAGUGAGGAAUAUUGGUCAAUGGGCGAGAGCCUGAACCAGCCAAGUCGCGUGAGGGAGUACUGCCCUAUGGGUUGUAAACCUCUUUUGUCGGGGAGCAAAAGCCGGACGUGUCCGGCUGUGAGAGUACCCGAAGAAAAAGCAUCGGCUAACUCCGUGCCAGCAGCCGCGGUAAUACGGAGGAUGCGAGCGUUAUACGGAUUUAUUGGGUUUAAAGGGUGCGCAGGCGGAUUUUUAAGUCAGCGGUAAAAUCGUGGGGCUCAACCCCAUCCAGCCGUUGAAACUGGGGAUCUAGAGUGUGCGAGAGGUAUGCGGAAUGCGUGGUGUAGCGGUGAAAUGCAUAGAUAUCACGCAGAACCCCGAUUGCGAAGGCAGCAUACCGGUGCACAACUGACGCUCAGGCACGAAAGCGUGGGUAUCGAACAGGAUUAGAUACCCUUGUAGUC
rnacentral:rRNA from 1 species